UACGUAGGUGGCGAGCGUUGUCCGGAUUUACUGGGCGUAAAGAGCGCGCAGGCGGUCGUACAAGUCGCGUGUGAAAGCCCCUGGCUCAACUGGGGAGGGUCACGCGAUACUGUUCGACUCGAAGGCAGGGGAGGGAAGUGGAAUUCCCGGUGUAGUGGUGAAAUGCGUAGAUAUCGGGAAGGAACACCAGUGGCGAAGGCGACUUCCUGGCCUGUUCUUGACGCUGAGGCGCGAAAGCUAGGGGUAGCAAACGGG
rnacentral:rRNA from 1 species